CGCACUUGAAAAGAUCAUAACUGUACAGCGGACAAAGAAACAGAAGAAGAAGUACCCAAAAUCAAGAAUCCGUGAGUGCUGUUUGGGCUUACUUUGAUUUCUAUUGAACAGAGAUACAAUCACAGCUUUGUACAAAGGUGGAGUGAAGCAAAAUGACUUGAUAAAUACUGCAGAGGUUUGGGAUUCUGCAGUUCCAUCAACUUUGCAGUACUUGGGAUCUCCCAACUCAUUGGAACUUCCAAAUUCCUAGUGACCAGACGUAGAAAACAUGAAAAUUUUCGUCCAGAAUAACAUUUAAACAUGUACCAUACAAAAAUUAACCAAAUAAUGUCUUGAGGCUGCUCAUAUCAUUAUCCAUUUUUCUCUUAAAUUAUUUGGAAAGUACACAUUUAAGGAGAAUGAUAAUGUAAUUACCCUUCAGAACAUUUGAACUUGCAGCGUUUCAUAUCGUCUACUUUAUAAUUCCCAAAGACAACAUCCAGUUGCUUAGC